UAGAGUUUGAUCCUGGCUCAGAGCGAACGCUGGCGGCAGGCUUAACACAUGCAAGUCGAGCGGGCGUAGCAAUACGUCAGCGGCAGACGGGUGAGUAACGCGUGGGAACAUACCUUUUGGUUCGGAACAACACAGGGAAACUUGUGCUAAUACCGAAUAAGCCCUUACGGGGAGAGAUUUAUCGCCGAAAGAUUGGCCCGCGUCUGAUUAGCUUGUUGGUGAGGUAACGGCUCACCAAGGCGACGAUCAGUAGCUGGUCUGAGAGGAUGAUCAGCCACAUUGGGACUGAGACACGGCCCAAACUCCUACGGGAGGCAGCAGUGGGGAAUAUUGGACAAUGGGCGCAAGCCUGAUCCAGCCAUGCCGCGUGAGUGAUGAAGGCCCUAGGGUUGUAAAGCUCUUUUGUGCGGGAAGAUAAUGACGGUACCGCAAGAAUAAGCCCCGGCUAACUUCGUGCCAGCAGCCGCGGUA
rnacentral:rRNA from 1 species